AUUAAUGAAAUGGAUCAAAUGAAUAAAAAGAAUGGAUGAACAAAAUGAAUAAAGUAAAAAAUAAAUGAAAUGUAUAAAUAAAACAAACGAAUCAAAUAAACAAAAUGAACUGAAGUGAUGAAAUGAAUAAAAUGAAGGAAAUGAGCAGAAUAAAAUGCAUUGAUUAAAAUGAAAAAUUAAACAAUGGUAAAAGGUUAUAAAUCAAUAUAAAGAAAUAAAUUGAAUCAAAUAAAUUAUUUGGAUGAAGUGAUUAAAACUGAAAAAGUAGUCAGAUUAUUAAAAUGAAGAAACUGAACAAAAUGAAUAAACUGGAAAAAAAUGAAUAAAAUACAUACAAUGAAAACAAUGAAUAAAAUAAGUUAAAUGAAUAAUAUGAGUAAAAUGCACAAAAAGAAUAAACUGAUCAGAGUGAAUCCAAAGAAUGAAACGAAUAAAAUAAGUAAAAUGAACGGAGAUGAACAAAACGAAUAAAAAUAUGCUGAAUGAAAUAAUUAAUUGAAAUGAAAUGGUCAUAUAUUUGAAGCUAAAAACAUUUUUGAAUAAAGAAAAUGAAUAAACCGGAUUGUACGAAUUUGAGAACCAUUGCAUCAGAAAGUUUUGAAAUGUUUUUGAAAAUACCAUCUUCUGAGAAAAGGUUAAUAAAUUUGCAAUGGACUUUCUAGGGCUUCCAUUUUUUUUGGUUUUAUUCUUUUUGUUUUCAUGCUUCUUUACUUGACGCGUUGUUUGAGGAUUUUCUGGUGUUUCUACUUUAUUGUUGGACCUUAAUUAGUUAUCAGGAACCUGGAACGUUCAAUUUGAUUUGGAAUUCGAAGUUUACUUUGUAGCAUGUUCACCUUUUUCGUAAUUUUUGUCAUUAUUCGUUCACUACACUCACUAUGCCAAAACGCAUCACAUCAAGAAAUAUUCAGACGCUUGUGUACAAAUAUUCCCUUGCAUGCAAUUUUAGCCUGUUUCGGAUGAACUUUCAAAAAUAUUCCGUCUCACCAAAACCCAAAUGCGCAUUAGAAUGAAAUGGAUAGAUACGAAUGUGUUAAGAGGAAAGAGUAUUCUUAAAAUUCAAGCGAGAGAAAUGGUUGUCGAAAGAGUAGUAUUUGUAAAAAUACGUACUUCCGACUACGAAUACUCGAAUCACUUGACGCCUAUCUGAGGAUCUACAGAACUGCAACUCGUCCAUUUCGAUCCUGAUCGUGGAAGAGGCAGCAGUGUGAAGUUCUUUUUUUAGUAUCGCGGUGUGUUUUAAAAGGUAGUUGUUAAAAAUGUGAGAAGUUUUUUAGGAUAAAAUUUAUUUAAAAAAGUUCCUUUCCGAUAGGCAUAGCUAGUGCGGUCAGUGAAUUGUGCGGUCAACAAAUUUGAAUUCGUUACAUUUCGUGCGAACUUGUGUGUGAAAAGAAGGUAAGAAUUAAUAAUUGAGUUGUGUGAUAAAAAGCUUCAAAGCGUCGAAUAGCCGAUCGACGGCUUCUUUUCUUUUAUUGCAAAAGUUUGGGGAUUUUCCGCCAUACGCGUUCUAGCGACGCAUACGCUCGGCACGCCGCCCGUCUCGUUUACCACCCUGCUGACCCCACGUUCCGGCUUCGAAAGUUCCCGACGCUUUUGGCAAAAGGUCGGAAGGAAGCAGCAAAACCAUCAACGCGCUUCGUUAGAGCGACGGCCAUCUUCAUCAUUGAAAAGUCGGCCGAAUUCAACACCCGGUAGGCAAAGGCCUAAUUAGCGUCAUCAUUGCGACGCCAUUGUAGACGCCGUUCGUCGCCAUCGCUGAAUAGGUUUGCGAUAGGAAGUCGGUGCCGAAGCCGCAAUAGCAGUCGGCACCCAGCUGAGAUGCAGCUCUGCUAGAUCGACGCUGUUCCUGUGCACGUAGAUCCAACACACAUAAAACUCAAACCUUCGAAAGCUUUCUUUGCCGCUCGAAAGCUAAAGCCGAGCGCGCAUUUGUACUGCUCAGCGCAGCUUUAUCCGCUAGCAGAAAUUUUGACCGCACUUAGGUAGAAGGAAAAGGGGUAAGCUAGAAAGAGAGGGAAGGAACCGGAAAAAUGUACAGCUAAAUGAAUAUAUAAAACCUAGGUUAAGAAUAAAAUGCCGUAUUUUAAUCCGUCCAAUAAAAUGUUUUCCUGUUAGUUAAUGUUACCUGCAAUGUUUGUAUUUUUUAUGUUGAUUAGCUUUCCCGUGUAGUGAAUUUGGUUCGAGAAGAUUUCUCACGUUUCGCGUCGUUUCCGUAGAUUUGAAUUUUCUUUGUGUUUGUUUUACUCCGAUGGGCUAUCGGGAAUUAGUCCCCACUACUACUUACAAAGCGAGAGGGAAAGAGUGUUCGACUGAGUUCUGCCUGUGAUGAUCACUGAUCGUUUUUUUAGUGCAUGAGCUUUCGAGUUGGUAUAAUGAUCAUUUCUCUUGCGUCUUUGCUAAACAUAGUAGUGGCUCCAUCUAUACGCGAAACGGAGUGCAUCUUUUCACAUUUUGUGUUUACCUACCGUUCCUUUGCGCCAUUUCGGGAUCAAUUUCCAUAACCUGCCCUGAGGUUAGGUUUCAUGCUGGGCAAUUCUAACCUGACGAGUGGUCCUCUUCGGGGGUGGCGCUAAAGCUACUCGUUUAAAACGUCCUGAGGAGCGUUUUGGUAGACGGAAACCGUAAACGGCCAUUUGGCCCGCUACAUUUUGGCGCCCAACGUGGGGCAAUUUUUUUCCUGUUGCGCGUAUCACAUUUUGGCAUCCAAUUUUAAAAAAAGGCUAAAAUUUUGCGGACUCAGGUAAUGCAAUUUGCAUCUUGAGUUAAUCUAGUAUUGGAUUUUUUUUAGUUGUGGUUUGGGAGCUGCAUUUUCUCAAAAAAAUACAUAACGAUUUCGGGUAAUUUUUUUUCGGAUUUGUUGAAAUCAAAAGCAAAAUUGGGCAUUUUUAUAACGUUUAUUCUUCUGUUUUUAUAUUUGUACAUACGUCUUGAAUAUUGUUGGUCUAUAAAAAUUCAUUUUCUCUAGUUUCUGUACAUAUAUUCUUCCAUUCUUUGUUAAGCUUAAAUUUAUGGGUACACAUUUAAUUUUUUAAACUUAAUAUAAACAAGGCAUUGAACUAAGUGAGUGAACCUAAUCUGAAUUGCAAAUUGGUUGAAUUUAACUUUUGAAUUUGGCAAAGAACAAUGAAAUUUCCAAAUCCAAACCAUUUACUAAAUGUUGAAGUGGACUAUGAGCUACUUCUGCGAAAUCGUACGACAGACAGACAGAAGACAAGACAGUCGAAAUUAAGACUUUUACGUCGAUUAUUUUUGUAAGAUCAGAAGGAAAGCAAAACGUAUAUGCCUCCUUACAGAUUUGAAUAUGAAAUAGAUGAUAUCCUUGAUCAAGUUUAUCUAAUUGAGAUAGAAUUGCUGGCAGGAGCGAAUGCGGAAUUGAUAUCGCGGUUAAGGCAUUAUUAUCUUAGAACCCUUAGGGGAGAACCAAGAUAUUUUGAAACUGAGAAAUCGCGUAGGGAACUUUUGACGAGAAUCAGCAAAAUUCUUAGAAAAGCUUCCUAUGAACUGCAAACUACGUCAGAGGAGGAAUCCCAGUCUUCAGCAGACGAAGAGGUAGACAAUGCUCAAUUAACUAGAUUAUCUGGCUACGUCGAUAAAGUAGAGGCAGUGGAACCUUCAUAUGAAGAUUUGCUGCAGAGGAUUGUAGAACUCGAAGCUUUGAUGAACCAGGUACAAAUUAAUAGUAUUGAGGUCGAGCUAGAAACUAAUUGUAGUGUCGAGCUAGAAGGUAGUCGUGAGGUCGAGCUAGAAGUUCGGCCUGACAUCCCAGUCAUUACGGAAAACUCGCCAUGUAAUCUUCCUAAUGCACACAAAGUAGAUGAACAAACCCAAAGUUUCUGCGACAAUUAUGAUACCAUUAAUUCGGGUAUGGAACCAUUAGAAGAUAGUAAUCAAGUUGAAAGCCAACUAGAACUGCAUAUUAUCAGAUGCGAGCAACCCAACCGCGACACUGCAGAAGGCAUGUCAAUUCUGAAUGAAAUCGGACAUGGAAUUAAUAGUUUCGAUCAAAAGCUUUUGAAAAAUAACAGCGAGUCAAUAAACUUGCCCAGAGGAUUGUCUAAUAACGCAAUAGAGUUACUCAAAGUCAAAAAGCUGAACGAUUCACUUAAGGUCAAAAAUGAUUUUGGAAAAAAUGGUGAAUAUUAUAAGGAAAUGCAAAAGUUGCACCUUAACUACAAUUGGGACAAUUAUUUCCAAAAUCUAACACGGUUGGUGUACCGUCCGCUUGAUAGACGAAAACCAAUAAAUAUAAACCUUCCCGAUAAAUUAAGAUCUCGCCGUAGUCAGGAAAUUAUAUAUACAAAACACUGCUACGAGCUUGAAGAUUCGACUGGGAAGCGACUUGGCGUCUUCUACGGGAAUCACCUGAAGAAGAUCCAUUUGCCCAAGUAAAACAUUCUCAGCUAUGAAACUCUUCGGAGUGACAAAAUGAACUCGUUUCAUAAUAAAACACCUUCGGGUCAAUACUGAACCAUUGUUAUGUAGUAACAACACCCUAUUCUCAGCUAUGAAACUCUUCGGAGUGACAAAAUGAAUCCGUUUCAUAACAAAACACCUUCGGGUCAAUAUUGAAACUGUGUUGUACAAUACUAACACCCAACGAUUUCCAGCUAUGUAGCUCUACGGAGUAACCACAUUACACUUUCAAAGAAAACACCUUCGGGUCAGUAUUGAAAUCGUGUUGUAAAAUAAGACCCACUUCUUCCAGCUAUGAAGCUCUACGGAGUAACUACAUGCAUGUCAUAAUAAAACACCUCCGGGGUCAUUUUUGAACAUUACAGAACAACACCACCCAUUAAUUUCCAAGCUAUGUAUCGUGAGAGACAAGAACUUAAAAAAAUAUUUCAAGAAAGGAAACCCACGAAUACUACUUGAAUCAUUUACUUUGAGAUAGCUAAAGAGGAAUCCGUGCGUUGAUUUCAAGAAAGUAGUAGGAUUCAUGAAGAGUAAGAACGAGCCAAGGCGAUGACCUGUCAACAGUAGUUAACAAACGAAUGUUUAAAGUGAGCCUGGCGAUGACUUCAAAAAACAAAAAAGUAUAUGUUUCCUAUAAGAGCGAGAAUGAGCACGACUCUGAAGCCAUCAAAAGCCGAUUCUUGGAGUCAUUCUCUAGGAAACUUUCUGGACUUCUUCGAUCACAGUAAAGUGUGAUCAGACCUCACGAGAGGGUUUAAGAUGGAUCUCAAGCUAUGCUCACUUCAUACGAAGCAACCGAGAAAUUAAGAAAAAAUCCAUCAAAAAACCCAAACGGAGAAGAAAUAAUCAAUAAACAAAGAGGACUUACUUCCCCAUGUAAAUACUGUAAAUUAGUGAUUAGUACGCGCCUAACGCCCUACGUCAAAUGUAUUGUUAGUUUAAGUUUCUGUUAGCUAAUCGUUCAGACUCACGAUUAAUUCAUUGUUUCUUCUUCUUAUUUUUUAUCCAAAUCAUUUGCAUGCCUUCAAUUUAGUAUCUCCUCUCUUCAUAGUUAUUUUUUCAAUAUUUUUCUCUCCGUUGUAUUUUUUUUUUAUUUUUGAUUAUUUGGUUGCAUGUUACGUUUUUGUAGUAGAUGUAUUCGCAUUUUAACCAUCGGUAGAACAAUUUCCGCCAAAGUACCUGAAAACACAGAGGACAAAUCGCCGCGUCUCUGAAAUUAAAUAGCUCAAAUGAGCAAAACAACGACACGACACAAAGUAAAUUAUACUUCCUUGAGAUUUCCGCUGGAAUUCCUGUUGAUUCGCUGGAUUAAUUAAAAAAAUUCGGCCGGAACAAAAAUUCUCCUGAACAGUCGUAAACACCGCCGCCAUCACUGUAUUUCAUUUUGACAUUUGUUUUUCAUUUUUGUUCCGUUUUGUUUGCAAUGCACUAGGAGUGAAUGAGUUACGGGAGUGAGUGACGAUUUGCUCCCAGUAUGCAUGUGAGUGAUUGAGAAGUAAAUUGGUAUUGUUAGUUUCGUCGAAAAUAUAAUAUUUUCGAUUUGACGUUUUGUGUUUAUGAUAAUCAGUUUUUCGGAUUAUUAUUUCUGGAGGGUUUUUCAUAGCGCAAGACGAAUUUAUUGUGGAAAAUGAAUGCAAUCAGAGUUUCGGAGUAUACUCUGGAGGGAUUGCCAUUCAGGAUUCACAGGUUUAUUAUUGUGGAGAGUGAAUACGAUCAGAAUUUCGGGAUUAAUUCUGGAGUGAUCGUUAUUCAGGAUUUGCAGGUUUAUUUUUAUCGUUUAUAAUGUGGAAAACGUACAUGAUCAUUAAUUCGGAAUUUAUUCUGGAGUAGAUCAUGAUUCUGGAUCCACAAGUCGCGGUUUAUUUUACAGAUUAUUGUUUUCAGUGGUUCGGCUAAUUCAUUGCUGAAGUGAAAACAAUGUUCUAGUAUUGUUAUUUUCUGGAAUUUUAAUAAAUUUCAGUAAAGUAAUGUUUUUAUAAUUGUUGAAUGAAUGUUUUUUGUUGCGUGUUGAUGUUUGAAUGAGUUUGCUUGUCAUAUUUAUUUUGGAAUUUCAUUUCAAUAGCCAAAUUUUUCAAUUCAGUAAAAUUAAACCCUACGAAAAUUUGAUGGAAUUUUGCAAUUCAAUCAAAUUUUCGUACAAUUAGUAGGGGAUGAUGUAGCAUGUUCACCUUUUUCGUAAUUUUUGUCAUUAUUCGUUCACUACACUCACUAUGCCAAAACGCAUCACAUCAAGAAAUAUUCAGACGCUUGUGUACAAAUAUUCCCUUGCAUGCAAUUUUAGCCUAUUUCGGAUGAACUUUCAAAAAUAUUCCGUCUCACCAAAACCCAAAUGCGCAUUAGAAUGAAAUGGAUAGAUACGAAUGCGUUAAGAGGAAAGAGUAUUCUUAAAAUUCAAGCGAGAGAAAUGGUUGUCGAAAGAGUAGUAUUUGUAAAAAUACGUACUUCCGACUACGAAUACUCGAAUCACUUGACGCCUAUCUGAGGAUCUACAGAACUGCAACUCGUCCAUUUCGAUCCUGAUCGUGGAAGAGGCAGCAGUGUGAAGUUCUUUUUUUUAGUAUCGCGGUGUGUUUUAAAAGGUAGUUGUUAAAAAUGUGAGAAGUUUUUUAGGAUAAAAUUUAUUUAAAAAAGUUCCUUUCCGAUAGGCAUAGCUAGUGCGGUCAGUGAAUUGUGCGGUCAACAAAUUUGAAUUCGUUACAUUUCGUGCGAACUUGUGUGUGAAAAGAAGCCGAUCGACGGCUUCUUUUCUUUUAUUGCAAAAGUUUGGGGAUUUUCCGCCAUCCGCGUUCUAGCGACGCAUACGCUCGGCACGCCGCCCGUCUCGUUUACCACCCUGCUGACCCCACGUUCCGGCUUCGAAAGUUCCCGACGCUUUUGGCAAAAGGUCGGAAGGAAGCAGCAAAACCAUCAACGCGCUUCGUUAGAGCGACGGCAAUCUUCAUCAUUGAAAAGUCGGCCGAAUUCAACACCCGGUAGGCAAAGGCCUAAUUAGCGUCAUCAUUUCGACGCCAUUGUAGACGCCGUUCGUCGCCAUCGCUGAAUAGGUUUGCGAUAGGAAGUCGGUGCCGAAGCCGCAAUACCAGUCGGCACCCAGCUGAGAUGCAGCUCUGCUAGAUCGACGCUGUUCCUGAAAUAACACAUGUGAGUAAAAAUAGAUCAUUGAUCCGUGCACGUAGAUCCAACACACAUAAAACUCAAACCUUCGAAAGCUUUCUUUGCCGCUCGAAAGCUAAAGCCGAGCGCGCAUUUGUACUGCUCAGCGCAGCUUUAUCCGCUAGCAGAAAUUUUGACCGCACUUAGGUAGAAGGAAAAGGGGUAAGCUAGAAAGAGAGGGAAGGAACCGGAAAAAUGUACAGCUAAAUGAAUAUAUAAAACCUAGGUUAAGAAUAAAAUGCCGUAUUUUAAUCCGUCCAAUAAAAUGUUUUCCUGUUAGUUAAUGUUACCUGCAAUGUUUGUAUUUUUUAUGUUGAUUAGCUUUCCCGUGUAGUGAAUUUGGUUCGAGAAGAUUUCUCACGUUUCGCGUCGUUUCCGUAGAUUUGAAUUUUCUUUGUGUUUGUUUUACUCCGAUGGGCUAUCGGGAAUUAGUUCCCACUACUACUUACAAAGCGAGAGGGAAAGAGUGUUCGACUGAGUUCUGCCUGUGAUGAUAACUGAUCGUUUUUUUAGUGCAUGAGCUUUCGAGUUGGUAUAACGAUCAUUUCUCUUGCGUCUUUGCUAAACAUAGUAGUGGCUCCAUCUAUACGCGAAACGGAGUGCAUCUUUUCACAUUUUGUGUUUACCUACCGUUCCUUUGCGCCAUUUCGGGAUCAAUUUCUAUAACCUGCCCUGAGGUUAGGUUUCUUGCUGGGCAAUUCUAACCUGACGAGUGGUCCUCUUCGGGGGUGGCGCUAAAGCUACUCGUUUAAAACGUCCUGAGGAGCGUUUUGGUAGACGGAAACCGUAAACGGCCAUUUGGCCCGCUACAACUUUUUGGUCACAUAUUCCCGAAAAAAAGGUUUAUGUACAGAAUAGAAUUUACUGGUCUAGUAUUUUAACGCGCAAUUGAAUAUAGUAAAGUGAGACAAGGUCACAUGUGCUUUCAAGCCCCUUGAACAGAGAACGACAGGGAGUAUGCGAUUCGUGAAUGAGACAGGUAGAUAUUUAAAAGUUUUUAUUUGCAUUGAAGUAAAUAGUGUGAAAUGUCGAUAGCAUAAAAGCCAUGCAUUCAGUUGAUUGCAAUGCAGUCUCUUUCCAUUCAUCCUUAUAGCUUUCAUAUUGUUUCGUUCGGAAUUCUCGUGCAAGAAAUAUGGAUAAAUAAGUCCUAUACAGACCAAUACUGUGACAAAAAAUGGUUCAAACUACUCAGUAUAUCCAGAUAUGGACGACGAUAAGUUAGAAGACACAUUGUAGUUACACCCCCCCAUCGAGAGUGGAUACUUUGGGAGACUGGAUAUUUUUGGUCUUUGAUCCGUUAUUUCUCAUGAAAGUUCGUACCAAUAUAACGAAUGUGCAGCUGAUACAACUCAUGGUUUAUUCGCCUGUGCCACGUUCCGUCUUCCAUCUGCACUCCACCAUAGAUGGUACGCAACACCUUUCGUUCGAAAACUCCAAGGGCGCGUUGGUCCUCAACGAACAUAGUCCAGGUCUCGUGGCCGCAGAGGACCACCGAUCUAAUCAGCGUCUUGUAGAUAAUCAACUUCGUGCGGCGGCGAAUUUUGUUCGACCGGAGCGUCCUCCGGAGUCCAAAGUAGGCACGAUUUCCCGCCAAGAUCCGUCUCUGAAUUUCUCUGCUGUUAUCAUUGUCAUCGGUUACCAGUGAGCCCAAAUACAUGAAUUCGUCGACCAUCUCGAUUUCGUCACCGUCAAUCCGAACUCGGGUGGGAGGUUCACAUUGUCGUCUCUAGAACCUCUUCCUCUCAUGUAUUUUGUCUUCGAAACGUUGAUGGCAAAUCCAAUCCUGCUGGCUUCAGCUUUCAGUCUUUGAGCAUAUGUUUCAUUCAAAAUUCAAUAGAGAUACGAAUAGUUUAAAUAUCGCACGUGAAAUGUUUGUUUUGGAAAUUUUCAUGUCAAACUUUCAUAUUACCCAGUUAAGCCAAAUAUUUUUUCUGAUAUAGCCAUGAAUUUCCUUAAUUAUAGUGUAGAUAAAGGCUUUGAAUACAAUUGAAUUAAAGUUGAGUUGAUGUAACAGCAGACAAAAAAUAGUUUUGUUUUCUCAAACCUUCGCAAUUACAAUUAAUAAAUAUUUCAGAUUGGCAGAAGAUCUUAUCACACAACUUAGAAAUGGAUACAGAAAUAGCUAGAUAGAUGCGAUAGAAGAGAAACAAAGAGAGAGAGAGAGAGAGAGAGAGAGAGAGAGAGAUGGGGGGGGGGCGUGUGAGGAAUGGCAAAUGUUGGUUAAUGCAGUGACAUUUUUAUAGGUAUAUUAUUAUGAUAUAUUGAUUUCUUAUCAUAAAUAAUGUAAGUAGUAAUUUUUGCGCCAUAACCAGUAUAACCUAAGUCUUGCAAAAGAGCUAAAUUUUCGCUAGAUUUUUGGGUUUCAAACAUACUUACUACUUUACUUUCGGUGAGGCCACGAGUAUAAUUAUAUGAGAAAUCUUUUAUCUCACUAUUAGGUUAAUUACUUGUUGAUCUGUGUAUUGAUAUACCAUCCAACAUUUACCUCAUGAUUGAACGCAAUGCCUAAUCCAAGGGAUAAAUACUAGAACUCACUGUUUCUUUAUCAACACAUUAUUUUGUCUUUGAAGUGAACUUAUAUAUUGAUUUUUGAGAAAUAGUUAAUUUAUUAUAAAGGUAAUUCACAAAAUGUUCUCAACAUCGAGUUCCUUGAAUCACGUAGAUGUGUUUUCAUACCCCGAUAUUCAAAAUCGGUUUAGUUUUGCCCCUAAAACACCAGUAAAGCAGUACGCUGUAUGAAACAAUCUCAUUUUUAGUUAGUGGAAAUUGGUAAGCGAGGACUAAAAAUACAAAAUGUUUAAUAUCUCCGCCGCUCGUGCACGGAUUUUGAAUAGAAAGGUAAUUUUACAAGCUUUCUAUUUAUGUGCAGUUUGUUGGGCAAUAUUAUAUUGUUCGGAAAUUAUUUGCGAAAAACCUGCUGUGCUUUGACAAAAUCGUCCAUAUCUCAGAAAGUAAACAACAUAUCGAAAAUCAAAAAUAAUAGUGUCAAAUGGCAACGUUAGGCCUUUCAUUUGAAACUAGUUUCAUUAAGAUCGGUUCAGCCAUUGCUGAGAUAAUUACAUGACUUUUUGUACAUACAUACAUACACACACACAAUAAUCCAUUGAAAUAAGCCAAACAUUAUUUCGAUAAAUCGAAUUUUGUAUUUCAUCUUUCUAUCCACAACCGCUAGAAAUAAUCACCGAACACUUCCAAGUUGGCUGGAAGGAACUUGAUAACUUAUCAGUGCAAAAAUGUUCAUUUGUGCGAACCUUCUGACUGCAAUUUUUCUAACUUAUGACCAUCGGAUCGAUCUGAAACAUAUCGGAAAAUGAAAAGCGAAAUAAAUAACUCCAAGCAACGGCGUAGCCAAGAGAAGGUUUUGGGGUUUAACACCAUACAUCCACCCCCCCCCCCCACCCCACCACACCCAAAAAAAAUUAAAUUGAAGUUGAAAAUUUAUUGAUGCAGACUGAUUUAAUUCAAUAUUACAAUAACAAUUAUCUGAUCCGUAGAUUGAUAACCUGUUGUUGUAAACAUCAUGAGGACUUUUGAUAAAUUGUCGGAAUGGGGUCCUGAUAUGUAAUUGAUCUAUUGGUCUUGAUUUCAUAGUUGUAUAAUUACAUCAAUAUCAAAUUCCUGCCUGAAAACAUUCCAAUAGAAAAUUCCAGAGUUCUGUAAUCCCCAGAUUUAUUUUCAAAUUGGUCUCGUUUUUGUAGAGAUGUACUGUAAUAAGGGUCUUUAUUUAAUAGGAAGCGAAGUUAAAAUUGAUUUAAUGUCUAUGAAACAUAGAAUUGCUAACCAAAAAAAAAUGCAUAACUUUCAACAUUUGCUAAAAAUGUUUUUGCCUUUCUCAUUCACUCUAAAAUUCGUCAGUCUAAUCCCGACCGGGAGGGCCGAGUGCCAUAUGCCAAGCGACUGAGUUCGUCGAGAUAGGAAAAUUUCUGUGUGUGUAUGUAUGUAUGUGUGUGUAUGUGUGUAUGUGAAAAAAAUGUGACCUCUGUUUCUCAGAGAUGGCUGGACCGAUUUGCACAAAGUUAGUCUCAAAUGAAAGGUACAACCUUCCCAUCGGCUGCUAUUGAAUUUUUUAUUGAUUGGACUUCCGGUUCCGGAGUUGCGAGUUGACGAGUGCAAUCACACUGCAAAUUCCCAUAUAAACUGAAAUGAAAAAAUUUCAAAAUCAAAUUUGCAGUUUUAAUGCCAAAUGACUUUAUAAUGGAUGAAACAUUGAGAUUUGAUGUAAACUCGAAAAAAUAAUGUUUGACAAAAAUUGACAUUUUUGGACUUUGGUACAUUUCUGCCUUUCUCAUACAGAAAAGUUAUGCAAUCACUCUAAGAAUCGUCAAUCAUAUCGGCCCGGAGGGAGUAUGCAGUGAGGGGUUGCUACUUUAAAAUUAAAACUAGUUUAAAAUUUCUUAACAAGUUGAAAAUUUUCGGCAGGACCUGGACCUCCCGGAUCUUACUAUGUGAUACUGAAACAUCGCUUGAAACCAGCGGCGGUUAAGCGAUGUUUCAGUAUCACAUAGUAUCUCAAGAUCGUGGCUGUCGAUCCAUUGUACGUAUGUGCAAAUCGUACUGAACAUGUAAUAUUCAUUUCCACCAUUGUAUUGAACAUAACCAGCCAUGGAAUCGUAGUCUGGACAAAUGAGAAAAGCACAAUUGCACCACUAGGUGGAUUGAAACAGGUUUUUAUUUUGGGAAUGCGUCGAGUUGAGGCGGAAACGUAAUAUGAUUAAUAACGAGGAUAACACUUUCCGAAUGUAGAGAGAAAUUUAUGAAAAAUGACGAUUUCCAUUCGACUCUAGCAGGUCCUGAUCGAUUUUGAUGAGCAUUUGAUUUUUGUUGUAUGACCAAUUAUAUGUAUAAGUCAAAUGUUCAAAAACAGUAAUUUAAGGUCAAGGUAGCAUCAUUUUGAAACCGCCAAUUUCGGAGGUUUAGUAUCUUCGAUGAGUUUUACAAACGCUAAACAGCGCAUCAUUUGAUAAAAUAAUUUUGACGGUAUAUCGUCCAAGAAGUAUCUAUGGUGAAUUUUCUCAGGUUAAUAUUCAUGACUACAAUAAAGUCUCAACAAAUUCGCUAAAGACACGAACUCUGUUACUAUUUUCUGAAAAAUUAAUUCUGCAUAAUUUUAAAACUUUUCGGAAUUAUGCCGUUUGGACAGUAUGAUCGAUUUUCACCAAACCGAAUUUCUGGCUACGCCGCUGACUUCAAGUAAGUAGAAACAAAGUCGUUCUACACUCGUUCACAAGAAACUUCUUCAAAUGCUGAAUAUCUAUUAUAAUACAUUGAAACCCCGACUUUAUCAACCAAAUAUGAACAUAUGUUUGAUGGGCUCUAGCAUGUAAGGAAAACAUGAAAACAUAAUCAUGAAGAUGGAAAUAUGCAAAAAUAAAAAGUUCAUCAUAAUCAGAAAUAGUUAUCAGACUACAUUAAGGGACGGGAAGAAUAUUUUAACAGCUUCAGUUUAUUAUAAAGAAAAAUAAAUUGCCCGAUUUAGUCAAUGUUCCCAUUUUGUCACCAUGAGAUUGAUAAAAAUGGGUCUUUAUUGUAUGUAUUAUUCACUGUGUUUCACAUUAAUAGGUACAUUUCAUUUUUGGGGAUUUUUUUUAUUGCAUCGAACUAUAACAAUUUUUA